AUACAUGCAGUCGAGCGAACGGACGAGAAGCUUGCUUCUCUGAUGUUAGCGGCGGACGGGUGAGUAACACGUGGAUAACCUACCUAUAAGACUGGGAUAACUUCGGGAAACCGGAGCUAAUACCGGAUAAUAUUUUGAACCGCAUGGUUCAAAAGUGAAAGACGGUCUUGCUGUCACUUAUAGAUGGAUCCGCGCUGCAUUAGCUAGUUGGUAAGGUAACGGCUUACCAAGGCAACGAUGCAUAGCCGACCUGAGAGGGUGAUCGGCCACACUGGAACUGAGACACGGUCCAGACUCCUACGGGAGGCAGCAGUAGGGAAUCUUCCGCAAUGGGCGAAAGCCUGACGGAGCAACGCCGCGUGAGUGAUGAAGGUCUUCGGAUCGUAAAACUCUGUUAUUAGGGAAGAACAUAUGUGUAAGUAACUGUGCACAUCUUGACGGUACCUAAUCAGAAAGCCACGGCUAACUACGUGCCAGCAGCCGCGGUAAUACGUAGGUGGCAAGCGUUAUCCGGAAUUAUUGGGCGUAAAGCGCGCGUAGGCGGUUUUUUAAGUCUGAUGUGAAAGCCCACGGCUCAACCGUGGAGGGUCAUUGGAAACUGGAAAACUUGAGUGCAGAAGAGGAAAGUGGAAUUCCAUGUGUAGCGGUGAAAUGCGCAGAGAUAUGGAGGAACACCAGUGGCGAAGGCGACUUUCUGGUCUGUAACUGACGCUGAUGUGCGAAAGCGUGGGGAUCAAACAGGAUUAGAUACCCUGGUAGUCCACGCCGUAAACGAUGAGUGCUAAGUGUUAGGGGGUUUCCGCCCCUUAGUGCUGCAGCUAACGCAUUAAGCACUCCGCCUGGGGAGUACGACCGCAAGGUUGAAACUCAAAGGAAUUGACGGGGACCCGCACAAGCGGUGGAGCAUGUGGUUUAAUUCGAAGCAACGCGAAGAACCUUACCAAAUCUUGACAUCCUUUGACAACUCUAGAGAUAGAGCCUUCCCCUUCGGGGGACAAAGUGACAGGUGGUGCAUGGUUGUCGUCAGCUCGUGUCGUGAGAUGUUGGGUUAAGUCCCGCAACGAGCGCAACCCUUAAGCUUAGUUGCCAUCAUUAAGUUGGGCACUCUAAGUUGACUGCCGGUGACAAACCGGAGGAAGGUGGGGAUGACGUCAAAUCAUCAUGCCCCUUAUGAUUUGGGCUACACACGUGCUACAAUGGACAAUACAAAGGGCAGCGAAACCGCGAGGUCAAGCAAAUCCCAUAAAGUUGUUCUCAGUUCGGAUUGUAGUCUGCAACUCGACUACAUGAAGCUGGAAUCGCUAGUAAUCGUAGAUCAGCAUGCUACGGUGAAUACGUUCCCGGGUCUUGUACACACCGCCCGUCACACCACGAGAGUUUGUAACACCCGAAGCCGGUGGAGUAACCUUUUAGGAGCUAGCCGU
rnacentral:rRNA from 2 species